UACGUAGGGACCGAGCGUUGUCCGGAAUCAUUGGGCGUAAAGGGUGCGUAGGCGGGUCUUUAAGGCAGGGGUGAAAUCCUGGAGCUCAACUCCAGAACUGCCUUUGAUACUGAGGAUCUUGAGUUCGGGAGAGGUGAGUGGAACUGCGAGUGUAGAGGUGAAAUUCGUAGAUAUUCGCAAGAACACCAGUGGCGAAGGCGGCUCACUGGCCCGAUACUGACGCUGAGGCACGAAAGCGUGGGGAGCAAACAGG
rnacentral:rRNA from 1 species